GUAGAGAAGAAAGAGGGGAGAAGAGGCACACAUUCUGCUUUUGGCGUAGCAAGAGGAAGCAAGCAAUAGGUUUUGUUUUUGUGCUCAAAAUAAAAAAAGACAAGGUGACCGUGAAGGUUAGGGCAUAAAGGAAUUUCUAUGCUUAAAAGCUUACUGAGAUUAGAAUGUUGAUCGAGGUUAAGACAAGGGAGGUCACAUGUUGGGGUUAAAGACCAUGGGGUAUUAGUCUAGUGUUUUGUGAUCGAGGAGGACUACUUCUAGUCUUUUUGUGGAGAUCAAAGUCCAUAGUAGGACCUUGGAUUUCAAGUUGUAAUUUUGGACUAUGUCUAGAAGCUUAAGUGUGUAUAUUAUAUUGCCAAUUAAACUAUCUUUGGGAGAAGGAACUUUAAGACCAAGAUGUUGUUUAGGUUAUCUUGUGAUUGAUAUUUUGUUUAGCA